UUCUGUAUAAGUCUAUGAAGUGAAGUUGUUUAAUUGUAGCAAUUAGAUCUUCCGUGUCUCUAUUGAGCUUCUUACUGCAUUUCCUAUCCUUCACUGAGAGUGUUGUGUUGAAGUCUCCUACCAUAAUUGUGGAGGUGUCUAUCUCACUUUUUAAUUCUGUUAACGUUUGUUUUAUGAAUGUUGCGGCUCUAUGAUUGGGUGCAUAAAUAUUUAAUAUGGUUAUAUGUUCCUGGUAAAUUGUCCCUUUAAUCAUUAUGUAGUGUCCUUCUUUAUCCUUUGUGGUGGAUUUAACUUUAAAUCCUAUUUUGUUGGAAAUUAAUAUUGCCUCUCCUGCUCUUUUUUGAUUGUUGUUUGCUUGAUAUAUUUUUAUCCAUCCUUUCAGUUUUAGUUUAUUUGUGUCUCUAAGUCUAAAGCGUGUCUCUUUUAGGCAGCAUACAGACUGAUCGUGUUUUUUUAUCCAGUCUGCAACUUUCUGUCUGUUGAUUGGUGAAUUUAGCCUAUUUACAUUAAGUGUAAUUAUAGAUAAGUAUGAGUUUAGUGCUUUCAUUUUGAUGCUUGUUUUUGACAAUUUCAUUUUUUCAUUUACUUUUUUGUGCUGAGCUUUUCUUUGUAGAAUGUGUGUUCCUCCUUUUUAUAGUAUUUGAAUUUAUGUUGGUGAGUCGUUAUGUUUAUCUUGGUUUUUAUUUUGAAGUAUGGAGUUGUUAGACCUCAUUGUGGUUACCUUAAUAUUUACCCCGGUUUGACUAAGUAAAAACCUAAGUUGUUUAACCCUGUAUCACCUUGGUUUCCUCUCCAUAAGUAAGAUCUAUGCCUCCUGUAUUUAGUCCCUCUUUUUUGAGUAUUGUAAUCUUUUACAUAAUCACAUCAAUGAUUCCCUGUUUUGAGCAAUUUUUUUUAAUUAAUCUUAUUUUGUUUUUGUGAUUUCCCUAUCUGAGUUGAUAUCAGGAUGUUUUGUUCUGUGACCUUGUGUUGUGUUGGUAUCUGAUAUUGAUUUUCUGACCAAAGAAUUUCCUUUAGUAAUUCUUGCAGUUUUGGUUUGGUUUUUGCAAAUUCUCUAAGCUUGUGUUUAUCUGUAAAUAUCUUAAUUUCACCUUCAUAUUUUAGAGUUUUGCUGGUUAUAUGAUUCUUGGCUGACAGUUUUACCUCUUUGAGUGCUCAAUGUUAUCCCACUGCCUUCUUGCCUGCAUGGUUUCUGCCGAGUAGUGCAAAGUUAUUGAUUCUCCUUUGUAGGUAACUUUUCGUUUAUCCUUGGGUGCUUUUUAAAUUUUUCUUUAUCUUUGGUUUUGGCAGGUUUGAUGAUAUGUCUUGGUGAUUUUCUUUUGGGAUCUAGUAUGAGGUUCGAUGAGCAUCUUGGAUAGAUAUCUUUUCAUCUUUCAUGAUGCCUGGGAAUUUUUCUGCCAACAGAUCUUCCACUAUUCUCUCUGUAUUUUGUGUUAUCCCUCCCUGUUCUGGAACUCCAAUCACACGCAAAUUAUUUUUGAUAGAGUCCCCCAUGAUUCUUAGGGUUUCUUCAUAGUUUUAAAUUCUAUUUGAUUUUUCUUCAACUAUAUUUGUGUCAAUUGCCUUAUCCUGCAGUUCCCCCACUCUGCAUUCCAGUUCCUCGAGUCUGUUCCUCUGACUUCCUCUUGAGCUGUCUGAUUCUGUGACUUUAUUGUUACUCUUUUGGAUUUCUGAAUGCUCUCUCUCUAUGGAUUCUUACAGCUUAUUAAUUUUUUCACUAUGUUCUUGAAUAAUCUUUUGGAUGUCUUCAACUGCUUUAUCCGUAUAUUCCUUGGCUUUUUCUGUAGAUUGCCUUAUUUCAUUUGUGAGGUCAUUCCUGAUGUCUUGAAGCAUUCUGUAUACAAUUUUUUUGUAUUCUACAUUUGGCAAUUCUAGGAAUGUAUCUACAUCCAGGAAUGAUUUUGAUUCUUUGAUUUAGGGGUUUGUAGAAGCAAUCAUGGUCUACUUCUUCAUGUGAUUUGAUUUCGACUGCUGUCUCUGAGCCAUCUAUAAGACAUUGUAAUAUUUUCUUUUAUAUUUGCUCACUGAGUCUUAUCUCUUGUUUUGUUUUGUUACAGUACACCCAGAUGUGCUACUAGAUUGUGGUAUCGUGAUUGCUGUAGCUUUUGAAUCACUUACGUCCUAUUACCAGCUUGCCUGAGCUGUUACCAGCUUAAAUACAGACCAGAAGAGGAGUUUGGGGCUUGACACCUGACAUCUUAACACCAGUUCCUGUUUCUUGAGGAAGGAAGAGGUAAAAUAAAUCAGCGUUUACUGUUUCCUUCUCCAUCCCCGGAAGUCCUGAUGAAGACCCUCUCAGCUUCAACUUGAACGUGAAUAUGAGCAACUGAUCAUCUGUUCUGCAGUCAGCCCCUGGCCUGAUUCUGACUCAUGGUAUUGACCUUCUCCAUCAUCACCUUCCACAAAUUUGAUUCCUGUCUAUUCUGCCUGGAAUGGUUCAUGAGUAUAGUCACCGUUUAUGUUCCUGAUGAAAGGUAUGUGCAAUGAAUAAGUCAUUGGUCUUGCCAAAUUCUAUCAUGUAAGCUUCAUUGUCAUUUCUAUCAUCAAUACCUUAUUUUCCAACUGCUGAUUUGUCUGCUUUGUUUUCAACUUCGCAUUCUAAAUGAUUGAUCAAUGCAUCACAUUUGAUCAGUUUCAAACUGCAUAACUUGGUAAAAACCUUCAACUUGUUCAUCUUUCACAUUCAUGAUUUGUGUGUAAAUUUGAAUAAUAGUCUUAUUAACUGGUCUUCCUGGUAGGCCUGUGGAUAUUAUCCUAUUGCUCGUAAUGUUGUA